GUUGUAUGGUUAAGUGACUAAGCGUACACGGUGGAUGCCUUGGCAGUCAGAGGCGAUGAAAGACGUAGUAACUUGCGAUAAGCCCAGAUUAGGUAGUAACAACCAUUUGAGUCUGGGAUUUCUGAAUGGGGAAACCCACGUGCAUAAGCACGUAUCCUUACCUGAAUACAUAGGGUAAGGAGGCGAACCGGGGGAACUGAAACAUCUAAGUACCCCGAGGAAAAGAAAUCAACCGAGAUUCCGAAAGUAGCGGCGAGCGAAAUUGGACUAGCCCUUAAGCUUUACACGCGUUAGACGAACGGUCUGGAAAGUCCGACGAUACAGGGUGAUAGUCCCGUAGUUGACGACGUGUGUUCAGUGAAAUCGAGUAGGGCGGGACACGUGAUAUCCUGUCUGAAUAUGGGGGGACCAUCCUCCAAGGCUAAAUACUACUGACUGACCGAUAGUGAACCAGUACCGUGAGGGAAAGGCGAAAAGAACCCCUGUGAGGGGAGUGAAAUAGAACCUGAAACCGUGUACGUACAAGCAGUAGGAGCAGGCUUGUCCUGUGACUGCGUACCUUUUGUAUAAUGGGUCAGCGACUUAUAUUCAGUGGCAAGGUUAACCAUCUAGGGGAGCCGUAGGGAAACCGAGUCUUAACUGGGCGUUCAGUCUCUGGAUAUAGACCCGAAACCAGGUGAUCUAGCCAUGGGCAGGUUGAAGGUUGAGUAACAUCAACUGGAGGACCGAACCGACUAAUGUUGAAAAAUUAGCGGAUGACUUGUGGCUAGGGGUGAAAGGCCAAUCAAACCUGGAGAUAGCUGGUUCUCCCCGAAAGCUAUUUAGGUAGCGCCUCGGACGAAUACUACUGGGGGUAGAGCACUGUUAAGGCUAGGGGGUCAUCCCGACUUACCAACCCUUUGCAAACUCCGAAUACCAGUAAGUACUAUCCGGGAGACACACGGCGGGUGCUAACGUCCGUCGUGGAGAGGGAAACAACCCAGACCGCCAGCUAAGGUCCCAAAUUACUACUAAGUGGGAAACGAUGUGGGAAGGCUCAGACAGCCAGGAUGUUGGCUUAGAAGCAGCCAUCAUUUAAAGAAAGCGUAAUAGCUCACUGGUCGAGUCGGCCUGCGCGGAAGAUGUAACGGGGCUAAGUAGUAAACCGAAGCUGCGGCAAUGUGCUUUUGCACAUUGGGUAGGGGAGCGUUCUGUAAGCGGUUGAAGGUGUGUGGUAACGCAUGCUGGACGUAUCAGAAGUGCGAAUGCUGACAUGAGUAACGAUAAAGGGGGUGAAAAACCUCCUCGCCGGAAGACCAAGGGUUCCUGUCCAACGUUAAUCGGGGCAGGGUAAGUCGACCCCUAAGGCGAGGCCGAAAGGCGUAGUCGAUGGGAAACGGGUUAAUAUUCCCGUACUUCUUACAAUUGCGAUGGGGGGACGGAGAAGGCUAGGUGGGCCUGGCGACGGUUGUCCAGGUUCAAGUGCGUAGGCUUAAGAGUUAGGUAAAUCCGGCUCUUUUUAAGGCUGAGACACGACGUCGAGCACCUACGGGUGUGAAGUCAUUGAUGCCAUGCUUCCAGGAAAAGCCUCUAAGCUUCAGAUUGUAAGGAAUCGUACCCCAAACCGACACAGGUGGUCGGGUAGAGAAUACCAAGGCGCUUGAGAGAACUCGGGUGAAGGAACUAGGCAAAAUGGUACCGUAACUUCGGGAGAAGGUACGCUCUUGAUGGUGAAGUCCCUUGCGGAUGGAGCUGACGAGAGUCGCAGAUACCAGGUGGCUGCAACUGUUUAUUAAAAACACAGCACUGUGCAAAAUCGUAAGAUGACGUAUACGGUGUGACGCCUGCCCGGUGCCGGAAGGUUAAUUGAUGGGGUUAGACUUCGGUCGAAGCUCUUGAUCGAAGCCCCGGUAAACGGCGGCCGUAACUAUAACGGUCCUAAGGUAGCGAAAUUCCUUGUCGGGUAAGUUCCGACCUGCACGAAUGGCGUAAUGAUGGCCACGCUGUCUCCACCCGAGACUCAGUGAAAUUGAAAUCGCUGUGAAGAUGCAGUGUACCCGCGGCUAGACGGAAAGACCCCGUGAACCUUUACUACAGCUUGGCACUGAACAUUGACCCUACAUGUGUAGGAUAGGUGGGAGGCUUUGAAGCACGUACGCCAGUAUGUGUGGAGCCGUCCUUGAAAUACCACCCUUGUAGUGUUGAUGUUCUAACGUCGACCCCUAAUCGGGGUUGCGGACAGUGCCUGGUGGGUAGUUUGACUGGGGCGGUCUCCUCCCAAAGAGUAACGGAGGAGCACGAAGGUGGGCUAAUCACGGUUGGACAUCGUGAGGUUAGUGCAAUGGCAUAAGCCCGCUUGACUGCGAGAAUGACAAUUCGAGCAGGUGCGAAAGCAGGUCAUAGUGAUCCGGUGGUUCUGAAUGGAAGGGCCAUCGCUCAACGGAUAAAAGGUACUCCGGGGAUAACAGGCUGAUACCGCCCAAGAGUUCAUAUCGACGGCGGUGUUUGGCACCUCGAUGUCGGCUCAUCACAUCCUGGGGCUGAAGUCGGUCCCAAGGGUAUGGCUGUUCGCCAUUUAAAGUGGUACGCGAGCUGGGUUUAGAACGUCGUGAGACAGUUCGGUCCCUAUCUGCCGUGGGCGUUGGAAGAUUGAAGGGGGCUGCUCCUAGUACGAGAGGACCGGAGUGGACGAACCUCUGGUGUUCGGGUUGUGUCGCCAGACGCAUUGCCCGGUAGCUAAGUUCGGAAUCGAUAACCGCUGAAAGCAUCUAAGCGGGAAGCGAGCCCUGAGAUGAGUCUUCCCUGAUACUUUAAGUAUCCUAAAGGGUUGUCGGAGACUACGACGUUGAUAGGUCAGGUGUGUAAGUGCUGUGAGGCAUUGAGCUAACUGAUACUAAUUGCCCGUGAGGCUUAACCAUACAACACCCAAGGGGUUU
rnacentral:rRNA from 1 species